GACGAACGCUGGCGGCGUGCCUAAUACAUGCAAGUCGAACGAGAGCAACCGGUGCUUGCACUGGUCAAUCUAGUGGCGAACGGGUGAGUAACACGUGGGUAACCUGCCCAUCAGAGGGGGAUAACAUCCGGAAACGGAUGCUAAAACCGCAUAGGUCUUCGAACCGCAUGGUUCGAAGAGGAAAAGCGGCGCAAGCUUCUGCUGAUGGAUGGACCCGCGGUGCAUUAGCUAGUUGGUGAGGUAACGGCUCACCAAGGCCGUGAUGCAUAGCCGACCUGAGAGGGUGAUCGGCCACAUUGGAACUGAGACACGGCCCAAACUCCUACGGGAGGCAGCAGUAGGGAAUCUUCCGCAAUGGACGCAAGUCUGACGGAGCAACGCCGCGUGAGUGAAGAAGGUUUUCGGAUCGUAAAACUCUGUUGUUAGAGAAGAACAAGUGCUAGAGUAACUGUUAGCGCCUUGACGGUAUCUAACCAGAAAGCCACGGCUAACUACGUG
rnacentral:rRNA from 1 species